rnacentral:tRNA from 2 species
AUUAAAGGGGCGGAUGUAGCCAA